AGGGAGGGACCUGGCUGCUGGGAGUGUACCAAGAUACCAGAGGUGGGGCUAGGCUGGGAGAAGGCCCGGGGGGCUCCGGUUUGGAAAUCCCCAGGCUGUGGCCUAGUGGAAGGCCAAAUAGGUACUGGGGUUGCAGGGGGCAGCCCAAAAGGGGUAGGCAGAGGCAGCAGGUCCAAAUCCCCUUGCCUGUGAUGAGUGGCAUUUAUACUGCAGUCUUCCCCAGUUAACGGGGGCUCUAUGGAGACUGGGCAGUAGCCAUAUACUAAGGCAAGGUGGGGACAGGGGUUCCCCUGGAAGGGGGAGACCCAGAGACUGUGGGGUUAUUACCAGGGGGCAGCACCCCAGUGGAAAGGGGCACCGGGGUCCAGGAGCGACAUGGGGGCCCAGUGGUAGCGGGACAGAGGGCGCUCCAGAGGCUGGAAGCUAAUUCCCUGAGAGACCAGCAGGAAGUGCCACAGUGAGCAAUUUCAACUGCAUAUAUCUGGGCUGUCAACAAUUUUGAAAUGAAAUAUUGGAAAAUGAGGUGUGACCUGAGGUGUGACCCAAGGUGCCUACAGAAGCCCACACUGAAAAUGCCAAGGCCAACUUUAAGCCAAGCUGUGGCUCAGAAACAAGGACUUCUGCGUCAACUCAGCAAAGCACUUGAGCACAUGCUUAACUUUAAGCAAACACUUAUGUGGCAGGGUCUCCACUCCUUGGUAGGUUGAUCCAGACCCUUACAGCCUUGGGGGAGGCAGGAAUCACUUCAGUGCACAGAUCUAGGACUGCACUGUUAUAGCAAAGCCCAGUACUUCCAUGCAGGCAUAACAAAUCCAAAUUAUCUAAAAGCAGCUCGACUUCCAUCAGUCAAACUGUCUCAACUGCCCCUCUGGCCUCUGCAACUUAGUCCCAGAUUAAGAAACUUCCUUCCCUUUGGGCCCAUCUUUACAUGCAGUGCAGGUUCAAAGACCACAUGCUCGGGCUCCUUCCUAGACCCAAGCCUGUCCUCCAGCCCUGAGCUCAGACUCUCAACCUGUAGCAGCCACAUGCGCCCUAUCCUGCCACCUGUACAGUCCUUUCCUCAAUGGCAACCCCAUUCUCAAGUCAAAGGAGAGCUGGCAGCAGAGGGUACAGCCUGGCUUUCCUACCAGCACCUCAGCCAACCAGGACUUUGUGGGAGAAAAGGACAGCUAGGAGGGCAGGACCUACCUUCCCGGUACUGUUGCUGUUCUGUACAAUGGGAGCGCCAAGAUUAAACCCCCGGACUUCAAUAAGACUUGAGCACAUGCGUAAUGACAAUCUGGUUCAUAAAUCCCUUACAUUGGUUAAUCCGGGCAUUUAGCAGGGCAACAUGGAGAAGGAUGAAAGAGGGAGAGAUUCACUGGGAAGGGGACAGGUCUAUAAGCAGAAAACAGGGCCGGCUCUACUGUUUUUGCUGCCCUAACGGCACACGGACUGCCCUGCUGUCCGCAGCGGCAAUUCGGCGGCAGCUUCUAUCUUUAGCUGGAAGACAGAAGCUGCGCCACCCAGGGCCAGCUCCAGGGGUUUUGCCGCCCCAAGCAGCAGCAAAAAAAAAAGGCCGAGAUCGCGAUCUGCAGUAAUUCAGCAGGAGGUCCUUCGCUCCAAGCGGGAGUGAGGGACCCUCCACCGAAUUGCCGCCGAAUAGGUGAACCUGCCGCCCCUCUCCGGAGUGGCCACCCCAAGCACCUGUUUGCUAAGCUGGUGCCUGGAGCCUGCCCUGGCGCCACCUCAGACAGCUGAACAUAGAAGCUGCUGCCGAAUUGCUGCCACUGCGGAAAUGCGCGUGCCACCCUAAUGGCACAUGGACUGCCCCUGCCAUCCCCGGUGGCAAUUCAGCGCACUGCUUGGGGGCAAAAACACACAGACUGCCGCCCCUUGCAGAUUGCUGCCCCGAGCACCUGCUUGGGAUGCUGGUGCCUGGAGCCGGCCCUGGCAGAAAAGUGGGAUUUUCCCAUGGAUAGGGAGUGCUAACUGCCAUGGAGCUCAACAUGGGAUCUGACCUGAUGAUCUCAUUGCUGAAUAAUUUAGUGAGUCCUUUCAAUAGACAUCAGAAAAGAUGAGCAAUCUUCAAGGGGACCAAUGCCUAGUUGCAACCCUAUAAUAGUGUUAUCACAGGUGUGUGUGUGGGGUGGGGGAAGCUUGCUGACAAUACCCUUUUAUGUGGAGACAUUAAAAAGAAAUCCACAUGUCUGAGGUCACUAAACCUACUCUUAGGAGAUCUUCCAUUGAAUUGCUCUCUGCUUUGCAUCAGAAAGCAUGGGAGUCUUAUACUGGGAUGUGAUAUUAUUACAAUAAAUUUUUUUAAAACAAAAAACAAAGGCUGGGUUCUCAUUUCCAUAUUUUUCUCCAUUUUGUUUAAAUCUUAGAAACUGUUUGAUUGUUUCUUUUAGUUUCCUUUUGGCAUACUGCACAUUUACAUAAACAGCUGCAGAGAAAUUACAAACUAAUCCUCUGUCUUCUCUUAUUCUCUGUUAAGUUAUGUUGAGAAAAUAAAUAUGAAGGGCACAGAUGUUUCAUUUUUCUCUGCAUAAAGUAGUUUGACAUGCUGCAAAUGUUGCAGAAA